AUAUCUCUCUGUACGGGAAGGAUGAGAAGCUUCGACUAAGGUUCGAUUCGAGCGCAGCGAGAAAGCGUUGCCGCAGGCAACGACCCGAAGGGCGAAACGCGCAGCGCUGAGUAAUCCUUCCCCCACCACCA
rnacentral:sRNA from 1 species